ensembl:lncRNA
UAGCAGGGACAAUGCUAGAUCCUUAAUCCACUGCACCACAGUGGGAACUCCUGAAAUAUAAUCUUUUAGAAUAACCUACCGGGCAAUUUACUCUCAAUUAUUGAACUCUCCCCUCCUCCUCCCUCAAGGAAAAGGCUUCAGAUUCAUCCCAUGGCUUUCUUCCCAGACCCCUCCUCCAUUCCCCUGAUGUCUACAGAGUGAUGUACAAACCCAGUUUGAGAAGCAGCGGCUGUACCACAUGGCCUUUCCCGCGUGCAAGUUUGAAGGCAGGACUUAAUGGUGGUGUUGUUUGUACGUCAGUGAUGGACAUGAAAAGCACCAACUCAAUUAAGCCACACAUAUUUCCAAAGCAAAUUUGCAGAACAAUAUCCUAGCCCCAGGGUUAUCAGAGAUUGAUAACAUCUGGACAUGCUUUUAAAACUGUUUGAAAACCCUUCCUGCCUCCCCCCUGAUAUAUAACCACCCUCGGCUCUCCCCUCAUCUGAACAAUUAAGGCACCUCCUGGGGAUAAAUAGGACGUUUAUUGCAAUAUUUGGAGGAUAUAAUGCUCCCUAGAGAGGAAAAAAAUUAAUAAAUGCUUGUACAUCUGGAAUGAAGAAAAAUAAGUAGAGGAGACAAAGGUUCAUGUUUCUUGACUUCCAGAUACACCUGCUCAAACUUUCAGGGGCCUGGGUCAUAAUAAAAGGCUAAUUUGCAAUAUGAGAAGUAUCAAUGCAUAUUUUGAUUGCAUUACUGAGGGAUUUCCAUUUUCUAUGGCAGAAAAAGACAGGAAAUAUUCCUAUUAUUUAUGGCAGAUUAUUUACGGGGGGUAGAAUUCUCAAAAGCCUGGCAUUUUGCUCUAUAAAAGUAUCGCCAAAUGCAAUAAUCAUACAUAAAUUCUCUACUUCCUAUUGUUACUCAUAAUGGCCUUUUUGAUAAAUACUUUCUUCUAUCACCAAAAAAUAACAAGUCCAAAUAAACUUUUGAUUUAUUUGCUGGAACAUCGCAUGAAAAUGACAAGAAUAUGGCAUGCUUGUGUGGACAGAAAAUACCUAUAUGUGGCGAGAAACCGAGCCCUAAAGACAGAGCUCAGAAGCCAUGGACUUGAUUUCCCUUCGAUGUUUACCUGCGUUUCAAUUAAUCUUUCAUUUCCUUGGACUUUGAGAUCUGAAAACUGGAUCCCUUCUCUGUGAGAGGCACCUCACACGCUACCAAGUCACAAAAGAGUUUUGGCUGCACCUGUGGCAUACCGAAGUUCCCUGACCAGAGAUGGAACCUGAGCCACAGCUUUGACCUACGCUGCUGCUGCUGCUGUGGCAGCUCAGAAUCCUUAACCCACUGCGCAAGACUGAGGAUCAAACCUGCCAUCACAGAGACGGGGCUGGAUACUUAACCCGCUGUGCCACAGUGGGAACUCCUAAGACACAUUUCCUUUAAUCCUCACAACAACCCUGUGAGGUUGAUAUUACGAUCGUCCCUGGUUUAUGAGUGAGGGAACUCUCAUGAUGGAGUAAGGAGUCUGGUAAGCCCAGACUUGAUGCCUGACUUCAGGCAGCCUCUUCCAGGGUAUGGCUUAGUCACUGUGGAAUCUAAGGUCAUUACUAGCACAGAAAGAAUGCUGGUAAUGGCUCUAUGUGCCUUGAAGUUUUCUCUGGUUCUGCUGCUUCUUCCAUCUAGCCUUCCUGGCUUCCAUUCCUUUGCUCUUGACUUGGAUCCUGACUUUUUGCUUAGGCUCUUUCACUUGGCAGCUCUGUUUUAAUGAUGCCCUGUUUUGAUUCAGUACUAACUUUUUGUGACCGCCUAUGACCUUUGGCUCCAACAACAAACCUUGGAGAUUUCUCUCCAUCCAAUGCUCAGGGCUGAAUCUAUUGAUUGCCUAACAGAGACCUAAAUGAGGAGUGUGCUAUACUCCUUCUAUAAUGCAGAUAGCAACUCGUGACACAUCCAAUACCAUCUUUAAAUACCAUUUAUUCAUUUUUUAUCCGUUCAUUUAAUCUUCCUUCCUUCUUUCUUUUCUUUCUGUCUUUCCUCCCUCCCUUCAUUCUUUCUCUCCCUCUUUCUCUCCCCCCGCCCCUCUCUUUCUUUCUCUUUUUUCUUUCUUUCUUUUUUUCUUACUUUCCUUCUCUCUCUUUCUCUCUCUCUCUUUCUUUCUUUCUUUCUUUUUUUCAUUUAUCAGACAUGUAUUGACAUUGAGCUGGUCUAAGCACUGUGCAUAUGCAGAUCCAUAAGUUGUGUGCCUUGCCAUGUGGCGCUCCUAUUCCAACUGAGAAGACACGAUUUUAAACCUGUGGAUGACAGUCCGAUAAAGAGCUGUGCAGAAAAUAUUCUAGAUUCAUCAUGGAUGUUUUCACAAAAGAGGCAACAAGUGAGCUGAGCCUUCCAAGCUAAGUUUUUCAGGUGCCUGGAUUAAACUAGAAUGCUGGGAGUUCCCAUCAUGGCUCAGUGGUUAGUGAAUCCGACUAGGAACCAUGAGGUUGUGGGUUCGAUCCCUGCCCUUGCUCAGUGGGUUAAGGAUCCGGCGUUGCCAUGAGCUGUGGUGUAGGUCUCGGAGGUGGCCGAGAUCCUGAGAUGCUGUGGCUCUGGCGUAGGCUGGAAGCUGCAGCUCUGAUUAGACCCCUAGCCUGGGAACCUCCAUAUGCCGCAGGAACGGCCCAAGAAAUGUUAAAAAGACAAAAAAAAAAAAAAAAAAAAAAAAAAAAAA